CUAGUAAGUUAGGUGAUCGCUGGCCGCGAAAGUGGCUGGAGGAAAGUCCGAACACCAACGCCCUCAAAAGAGGGGUUAAAAUAGUAGCGGCUAACAGCCGCCCACCGCAAGGUGCGAGGUGCGAACAGUGACGGCUUUGAUCGAAAGAUCAAGCAUCCCGGUCCCGGGAUAAUUCUAUAGCAAUAUAGAGGUGAAACGGCUAAAUCCUUAUUGGGUGCAAGAACAAAGCAGAAAUUCGGGUUAAAUUCAUCUUGAAUUUCUGUUAAAAGUAGUUCGCCAGAGCUAAUAAGUAAUUAUUAGCCUAGACAGAUGAUCAUCCUCGACAGAAUUCGGCUUAUCGACUUGCUAGGACA
rnacentral:RNase_P_RNA from 1 species